UACGUAGGGUGCAAGCGUUGUCCGGAAUUAUUGGGCGUAAAGCGCGCGCAGGCGGUCCCUUAAGUCUGAUGUGAAAGCCCACGGCUCAACCGUGGAGGGUCAUUGGAAACUGGGGGACUUGAGUACAGAAGAGGAAAGCGGAAUUCCAUGUGUAGCGGUGAAAUGCGUAGAGAUGUGGAGGAACACCAGUGGCGAAGGCGGCUUUCUGGUCUGUAACUGACGCUGAGGCGCGAAAGCGUGGGGAGCAAACAGG
rnacentral:rRNA from 1 species